AUUCAGGAAAAGAAUUUAAGUUCAACCUAAAGUCACCAAAAAAAUCAAAAUAAAUAUAAACUUGACCUUUAGAGCUACUCAAAUAAGUUACAGCCUGUUUGAGAUAGGACACAGCCUAGACCUAUGGGUUUCAACAUUACACACGCAAACAAGUGGGCCUAAAAGCAGCCACCUUUCAAAAAGCGUCACAGCUUAAUAAAUUUCCCCCCCCCUGUAUUAAUACCAAAAACUUUGCGGAACCCUACACCCUUACUGAAUACUCCUAUAUCAUUAUAGGACUUUUUAUGUUAAAACUAGUAACAAGAAGCAACUUCUCUUAUAUGCAAGCAUAAAUCAGGGCGAAAAACUCACUGAUAAUUAACAGCCAUAAAAUAAAGUAACACCAAACCAAGAGAAAUUUACUUAAGCAACUGUUAACCUAACACAAGAGCAUAAAAAGAAAGAUUAAAAAAAGAGGAAGGAACUCGGCAAACACUGAUUCCGCCUGUUUACCAAAAACAUCGCCUUCUGUAGUACAUAGGAGGUCCAGCCUGCCCAGUGACCCAGUUCAACGGCCGCGGUAUCCUGACCGUGCAAAGGUAGCAUAAUCACCUGUUUUUUAAUUGAAGACCAGUAUGAAAGGCAUCACGAGAAUCACACUGUCUCCCUUUUUUAAUCAGUGAAACUAAUCUUCCCGUGAAAAAGCGGGAAUAACCCUACAAGACGAGAAGACCCUUUGGAGCUUAAGACAACAGUAAAAUAUUGCUAUUUUCAACUAAAUCUACACCCAACAGCAUUUAUUUACCAGUCUUUGGUUGGGGCAACCAUGGAGUAAAAAAUAACCUCCAAGAUGAAGUGGGAUCUCCCUAAACAAAAAGCCACAACUUUAUGUAUCAGCAAAAUGACAUCAAAUGACCCAAUAUUUUGAUUAUCGAACCAAGUUACCCCAGGGAUAACAGCGCAAUCCACUUCAAGAGUUCAUAUCGACAAGUGGGCUUACGACCUCGAUGUUGGAUCUAGGUACCCUAGUGGUGCAGCCGCUACUAAUGGCUCGUUUGUUCAACGAUUAAAACCUCACGUGAUCUGAGUUCAGACCGGAGAAAUCCAGGUCAGUUUCUAUCUGUAAUAAAGCUAUCUCCAGUACGAAAGGACAGCUAUAGCAUGGCCUAUAAAACAUUUACGCCAUUUUAUUAAACUUAUGAUGUUUCUCAAUAAGCUAUAUUCCCAUCUCCCC
rnacentral:rRNA from 1 species